UAUCCGUUGGUGAACCAGCGGAUGGAUCAUUACCGAUAAAAUGAACGCCAAUUUUGGUGUGGUUGACUUGAGGGUCGACCUCUGGUGUGGUUGGUUAACCAGCCUACCAGUACUCGUGGUGUGCAAUGACGUGGAAUCGGUGUUAAAGCCGAUUGCAAGUCGCACGCUUGAUGAGUGAAGGGAUUGUUGGAAAGGGCAAAACUUUGUCCAGGCGAGAUGCCUCCUCAACCCCUGAGACUACCAUUGACUUCACUGAAGCUAUUGUCUUAAAAAGAACAACUGCUGGCCGUGGAUCACUUGGUUGAC
rnacentral:misc_RNA from 1 species